UACGUAGGGGGCAAGCGUUGUCCGGAUUUAUUGGGCGUAAAGAGCGUGUAGGCGGCCAUACAGGUCAGCUGUGAAAACUCGAGGCUCAACCUCGAGACGUCGGUUGAAACCGUAUGGCUAGAGUCCGGAAGAGGAGAGUGGAAUUCCCGGUGUAGCGGUGAAAUGCGCAGAUAUCGGGAAGAAUACCUAUGGCGAAAGCAGGCUACUGGACCGUCACUGACUCUGAUCUGCGAAAGCUAGGGGAGCAAACAGG
rnacentral:rRNA from 1 species